rnacentral:rRNA from 1 species
UACGUAGGGGGCAAGCGUUGUCCGGAUUUAUUGGGCGUAAAGAGCGUGUAGGCGGCCAGAUAGGUCCGUUGUGAAAACUGGAGGCUUAACCUGCAGCUGUCGAUGGAAACCAUCUGGCUAGAGUCCGGAAGAGGAGAGUGGAAUUCCUGGUGUAGCGGUGAAAUGCGCAGAUAUCAGGAGGAACACCGGUGGCGAAGGCGGGUCUCUGGGCCGAUACUGACGCUGAGGAGCGAAAGCGUGGGGAGCGAACAGG